AGUCUUUCAAGAAAAGUGAUUAAGAAGGGAAGGCAAAAGUGGCUACACUGAGACACAGGUUAUGUUUCCAUCAAAGCAGUGACAAUAAGACCCGUAACAAUU
ensembl:snoRNA